rnacentral:rRNA from 1 species
CCUACGGGAGGCAGCAGUGAGGAAUAUUGGUCAAUGGACGAGAGUCUGAACCAGCCAAGUAGCGUGAAGGAUGACUGCCCUAUGGGUUGUAAACUUCUUUUAUAUGGGAAUAAAAUGUUCCACGUGUGGGAUUUUGUAUGUACCAUAUGAAUAAGGAUCGGCUAACUCCGUGCCAGCAGCCGCGGUAAUACGGAGGAUCCGAGCGUUAUCCGGAUUUAUUGGGUUUAAAGGGAGCGUAGGUGGAUUGUAAAGUCAGUUGUGAAAGUUUGCGGCUCAACCGUAAAAUUGCAGUUGAAACUGGCAGUCUUGAGUACAGUAGAGGUGGGCGGAAUUCGUGGUGUAGCGGUGAAAUGCUUAGAUAUCACGAAGAACUCCGAUUGCGAAGGCAGUUCACUGGACUGCAACUGACACUGAGGCUCGAAAGUGUGGGUAUCAAACAGGAUUAGAUACCCCAGUAGUC